rnacentral:rRNA from 2 species
AGAGUUUGAUCCUGGCUCAGGACGAACGCUGGCGGCGUGCCUAAUACAUGCAAGUCGAACGAACUCUGGUAUUGAUUGGUGCUUGCAUCAUGAUUUACAUUUGAGUGAGUGGCGAACUGGUGAGUAACACGUGGGAAACCUGCCCAGAAGCGGGGGAUAACACCUGGAAACAGAUGCUAAUACCGCAUAACAACUUGGACCGCAUGGUCCGAGCUUGAAAGAUGGCUUCGGCUAUCACUUUUGGAUGGUCCCGCGGCGUAUUAGCUAGAUGGUGGGGUAACGGCUCACCAUGGCAAUGAUACGUAGCCGACCUGAGAGGGUAAUCGGCCACAUUGGGACUGAGACACGGCCCAAACUCCUACGGGAGGCAGCAGUAGGGAAUCUUCCACAAUGGACGAAAGUCUGAUGGAGCAACGCCGCGUGAGUGAAGAAGGGUUUCGGCUCGUAAAACUCUGUUGUUAAAGAAGAACAUAUUCUGAGAGUAACUGUUCAGGUAUUGACGGUAUUUAACCAGAAAGCCACGGCUAACUACGUGCCAGCAGCCGCGGUAAUACGUAGGUGGCAAGCGUUGUCCGGAUUUAUUGGGCGUAAAGCGAGCGCAGGCGGUUUUUUAAGUCUGAUGUGAAAGCCUUCGGCUCAACCGAAGAAAGUGCAUCGGAAACUGGGAAACUUGAGUGCAGAAGAGGACAGUGGAACUCCAUGUGUAGCGGUGAAAUGCGUAGAUAUAUGGAAGAACACCAGUGGCGAAGGCGGCUGUCUGGUCUGUAACUGACGCUGAGGCUCGAAAGUAUGGGUAGCAAACAGGAUUAGAUACCCUGGUAGUCCAUACCGUAAACGAUGAAUGCUAAGUGUUGGGAGGGUUUCCGCCCUUCAGUGCUGCAGCUAACGCAUUAAGCAUUCCGCCUGGGGAGUACGGCCGCAAGGCUGAAACCUCAAAGGAAUUGGACGGGGGCCCGCACAAGCGGUGGAGCAUGUGGUUUAAUUCGAAGCUACGCGAAGAACCUUACCAGGUCUUGACAUACUAUGCAAAUCUAAGAGAUUAGACGUUCCCUUCGGGGACAUGGAUACAGGUGGUGCAUGGUUGUCGUCAGCUCGUGUCGUGAGAUGUUGGGUUAAGUCCCGCAACGAGCGCAACCCUUAUUAUCAGUUGCCAGCAUUAAGUUGGGCACUCUGGUGAGACUGCCGGUGACAAACCGGAGGAAGGGUGGGGGAUGACGUCAAAUCAUCAUGCCCCUUAUGACCUGGGCUACACACGUGCUACAAUGGAUGGUACAACGAGUUGCGAACUCGCGAGAGUAAGCUAAUCUCUUAAAGCCAUUCUCAGUUCGGAUUGUAGGCUGCAACUCGCCUACAUGAAGUCGGAAUCGCUAGUAAUCGCGGAUCAGCAUGCCGCGGUGAAUACGUUCCCGGGCCUUGUACACACCGCCCGUCACACCAUGAGAGUUUGUAACACCCAAAGUCGGUGGGGUAACCUUUUAGGAACCAGCCGCCUAAGGUGGACAGAUGAUUAGGGUGAAGUCGUAACAAGGUAACC